rnacentral:rRNA from 1 species
UUAGAGUUUGAUCCUGGCUCAGGACGAACGCUGGCGGCGUGCCUAAUACAUGCAAGUCGAGCGGACAGAAGGGAGCUUGCUCCCGGAUGUUAGCGGCGGACGGGUGAGUAACACGUGGGUAACCUGCCUGUAAGACUGGGAUAACUCCGGGAAACCGGAGCUAAUACCGGAUAGUUCCUUGAACCGCAUGGUUCAAGGAUGAAAGACGGUUUCGGCUGUCACUUACAGAUGGACCCGCGGCGCAUUAGCUAGUUGGUGAGGUAACGGCUCACCAAGGCGACGAUGCGUAGCCGACCUGAGAGGGUGAUCGGCCACACUGGGACUGAGACACGGCCCAGACUCCUACGGGAGGCAGCAGUAGGGAAUCUUCCGCAAUGGACGAAAGUCUGACGGAGCAACGCCGCGUGAGUGAUGAAGGUUUUCGGAUCGUAAAGCUCUGUUGUUAGGGAAGAACAAGUGCAAGAGUAACUGCUUGCACCUUGACGGUACCUAACCAGAAAGCCACGGCUAACUACGUGCCAGCAGCCGCGGUAAUACGUAGGUGGCAAGCGUUGUCCGGAAUUAUUGGGCGUAAAGGGCUCGCAGGCGGUUUCUUAAGUCUGAUGUGAAAGCCCCCGGCUCAACCGGGGAGGGUCAUUGGAAACUGGGAAACUUGAGUGCAGAAGAGGAGAGUGGAAUUCCACGUGUAGCGGUGAAAUGCGUAGAGAUGUGGAGGAACACCAGUGGCGAAGGCGACUCUCUGGUCUGUAACUGACGCUGAGGAGCGAAAGCGUGGGGAGCGAACAGGAUUAGAUACCCUGGUAGUCCACGCCGUAAACGAUGAGUGCUAAGUGUUAGGGGGUUUCCGCCCCUUAGUGCUGCAGCUAACGCAUUAAGCACUCCGCCUGGGGAGUACGGUCGCAAGACUGAAACUCAAAGGAAUUGACGGGGGCCCGCACAAGCGGUGGAGCAUGUGGUUUAAUUCGAGGCAACGCGAAGAACCUUACCAGGUCUUGACAUCCUCUGACAACCCUAGAGAUAGGGCUUUCCCUUCGGGGACAGAGUGACAGGUGGUGCAUGGUUGUCGUCAGCUCGUGUCGUGAGAUGUUGGGUUAAGUCCCGCAACGAGCGCAACCCUUGAUCUUAGUUGCCAGCAUUCAGUUGGGCACUCUAAGGUGACUGCCGGUGACAAACCGGAGGAAGGUGGGGAUGACGUCAAAUCAUCAUGCCCCUUAUGACCUGGGCUACACACGUGCUACAAUGGACAGAACAAAGGGCUGCGAGACCGCAAGGUUUAGCCAAUCCCACAAAUCUGUUCUCAGUUCGGAUCGCAGUCUGCAACUCGACUGCGUGAAGCUGGAAUCGCUAGUAAUCGCGGAUCAGCAUGCCGCGGUGAAUACGUUCCCGGGCCUUGUACACACCGCCCGUCACACCACGAGAGUUUGCAACACCCGAAGUCGGUGAGGUAACCUUUAUGGAGCCAGCCGCCGAAGGUGGGGCAGAUGAUUGGGGUGAAGUCGUAACAAGGUAACC